GGAAGACAAUGGACAGACUGUGGCAUCACUGGAAAGAAGCUGAAUGAGAAACAUGGAGGGAGAGUUACAGAAGGACGUUUGUAAGAUGGGGGGGGUGCUUAGCAAGCGAUUCAGGAGGGAAUGUGAGUCACAGCGACUCCUCCCUUGAAGCUGUGCCCCACAGUGACCAUUUCCACAGAGUGGCCUGGCAGACCCUGCUCUCUGGGGCACAGGGGGCUGCGGUCCCAUGACCAACAUGGUCACUGCCCCACUGCGGGUCAGAGGCCUCAUCUGCAGUUUUCACUCAAUUGUCUACAAAAUGGGCUGUUUGAGUAGAAUGAGUGAGAGCAACAGGGGAAACAGCUGCCCUGGAGAUCCACAGCACCAAUGAAGCCAUCCCUGCAACCAUAAACCUAUCAUUCCCUUGGUCCACAUACAAGGUGGUCACCUAGGGAUUAUGUCUGGCAUGAUCACAGGAGCGUUGCACCAAGGCUCAGUAAGAUUAAUUGGC
rnacentral:lncRNA from 1 species